AGUGAACGCUGGCGGUAUGCCUAACACAUGCAAGUCGAACGGCAACACAGUAAGAGCUUGCUCUUACGGGUGGCGAGUGGCGGAAGGGUGAGGAAUACAUCGGCACCUUCUGUUACGUGGGGGAUAACGUAGGGAAACUUACGCUAAUACCGCAUACGACCUACGGGUGAAAGCAGGCGAUCUUCGGACCUUGUGCGACUGAAUGAGCUGAUGUCGGAUUAGCUAGUUGGCGGGGUAAAGGCCCACCAAGGCGACGAUCCGUAGCUGGUGAGAGAGGAUGAUCGCCCACCCUGGAAGGGGGACACGGUCCAGACUCCUAAGGGAGGCAGCAGUGGGGAACAGUGGACAAUGGGCGGAAGCCUGAUCCAGCCAUCCCGCGUGUGUGAAGAAGGCCUUCGGUUUGUAAAGACCGUCUGUUGGGAAAGAACAGCAUCAGGUUAAUACCACGCUGUUGUGACGGUACCCAAAGAAUAAGCACCGGCUAACUUCGUG
rnacentral:rRNA from 1 species